UACCAGAAAAGUGAUCUGAGUAUUUAUUGAGCAGGGAGAACAAACUGCUUGCUCCAGUCAGGGAGAAAGCUUAUGGAAAUGAUAUUAGACCUUCAGCAAAGUGCACAGCUGCAUCAUACAGAAGCUGAGACUCAAACUGACAGGCAAAUAAGCCAGAUCACGGAAGGGGCCUCUGUGUGGCAGCUCUGAGCUACUAAGUGUUGGACAACUAGGCAAAAAGUGCAAUGGAACAGGGCAGAAAAUAGCACACUAACUUCAGGCAACUGUUGCUUUUUCAUGGUCUUUAGGGAUUUUACACUGCGUAUCUGGAAAAACAAGUCACCGUUUAAACACUAAGUCUACAGCUUGAAUGAUCUGGAGGGUAACAUUUUCUGUAGAUGAAAACUUCUGCCUGCUGUGAUAUCCCACUCUUUGAGUAAUGCCACAUGCAGCACUGAGUAGUACUGGCAAACGGAAGAGAUUUCGUGGAAUGAGGUGUGCAGCUGCCAUUCUGUCUCAACAGGACUGUGUUCGCCACUUCAUGAGCUGCAGUGCCUAUGAAGAUAAAACUCACUGCAAAAGG